UGGUUCACUUUAGGGGCUUUUUGUGCUUAGCACACUUAUUUUGAGCUUGUCACUUGUUUUCCAGGGGUCUGUAUACCUAUCACACUUUAUUUUGAGCUUGCCAAUUGUUUUUCACUAUUUUUUUCUAAGUCUCGAAAGUUUUGCGUUUAGCACAACUUAGUUUGUGCUUUGCACCCUCUACUUGGCGCAAAAGUUUUAGGUUUAGCACAUUGAUUCUAAUUUUGUCUUUGGUUUCUUCAAUUCUAAUGUACUCUCUCUUUGGUUUUUCAUUUUUUUGCACAUGUUUUAGUGUUGUAAAUAUUUCUUCUUUGUCAAUUAUUGUUUUUCUUUUCCCCUUUCUAUUUGCUUUCUUUUUCUUUCUUUUGUUGGGUUCUUAUUUGUUAGAUCUUGUUCCUGGUUGCAGUUUUGUUUAGCUGAAGAGAAGGUCCCUAAUAAGGAAGCUUGAUGAUGAAGUUGCUGCUUUGCCAUUUGAUGUGCCAAUAUCAAUUAUGUUUUUCAAUUUUGUGUUUAAAUUCUGCUUUUAAAUUUUCCGUAGACUCUUUAGUGUAGACUAUGAUGUUUGAAUAUGAUUAUCUAGUGUCUAUGUUUGUGAUGUUGAUUGAGCACUAUUUCACUUUUGAUGGAUUGGAUGAAUGAGUUAAGUGUUGGAAUGCAAGUUGAUGAAUUUGAUUGAAUAUGUUUCAAAAUGCAUUUGAGUUUUUGGUAGAACUUUAGUGCAGGUGAUUGCAUGCGUGGUUAAUGAAUUUGAGCCUUUGAGCCUUUUUGCAAAUUUGUAGUGUGGAAUGACAGUUGUGUUAGGAGAAGUGUGGUUGAUUUUGAUUUAUUCUCACCAUUCACUUGGUUUGCAUUCAUGAAUUAAGAUGAUCAAGGCACUUUUGUUUUUGUUUUAUCCACUUAAGCCAUAAAGCCAACUUGAACAAUUUUCCUUUGCUUAAACUUUUGAGCUGAAAGAAAAAAAUUCAUUGUUGAUUCGCAACCCCAUGAGCUUAAUAAGAAAAACCAUGUUUGAAACCUAUGCCUUAGGUGUUAGAAAAGUGUUGUUUGAAUUAUGAUGCUUGAAGCAAGUUUAGGAGAGUUGUGACUUGUGGAAAGGGAAGUUGGAAAGAAAUGAAAAAGAGUGGUUAUACAUAGUAUGUACAUACACAUGUAAAAAAAAAAUGCAAAAUUGAAGAAAAAAAGAUUGAAGUAAAAAAAAUGAAAAGAAAAAAAAUAGGGUUGUACACAAAUAAAAGGGUGUAAAGUUCUUGGUUUGUAGAUUUGGGCUAAGGAAUUAAAGAAAAGGAAGGAAAAGGGGGUUCUUAAUUGAAGCAUCUUGAUUCAAAUGCAUAUUUUGAUUUCUGUUUCUCCCCUUUGGUUUUGAACAAUAUCUAGAAAUAAAAAAAUUGUAGCCUUGCCCCAUUACAACCCAAAUAAAGAACUUAUGAGGCAUGUGUGAAUUUCUGUGAAUUAUUUGAGAAGAACAUCAAAGUUUGUCUGUAUGAAGUUAGAGAUGAAUUCGAGUGAUACACUAUCUUGAUACACUUGAGUGAUGAGGGAUACACAGUUUUCCUUGUGAGAUGUUAGGAUUCCUUGGUUGUGUUCAUUAAGGGUCAUUGUCACCUGUAUUAAUCUCUAGCUUGUCCUUGCAUCAUAGAGAUACCUUGUACUCUUUUGUACCAUGGGACAUGCGAAAGUCUUGCUCAUUUGAAUUGGUUCCAAUGCUUUACUUUUUGAGUUGUGCAUAGUUGUUCAAUCAAUUAAGGAAUGGGUUUACUUGUUCAUCGUGUGUGUUUUCAUGUCUAGAAGUUUACUUUUCUCUUACUUUUAAUCCUUGCCAGGCCUUAAGUUUGUUAGUAAUAGGAACUUUAGUUUAGAUUGUUGCUUUUUACUUGUGAAAUAAAUUUUUAUUAAGUUUUGGCCUUGUUUUGUAGGAAAAAAAGUGCAGAAAAGGAGUGAGAAGUUUUGGGAGUUGCACUUAGCCUAAAUGGAAUUGAGCUUAGCACUGGAUUACCUGAUAAUGCUUUUGGUGAAGAUUUGAUCUCACGUUGGGCACUUAGCACGAUUACUCUUGUGCUUAGCACAGUAAUCUGGAACAUAAAGAAGUCAUUUUUAGGAACUACGAUUAGCACAGAAGUAGUUGUUGCACUUAGCACGUCACUUAUGAGUUGUCACCUAUUUAAGGAUUUCUUUGUACUUUUUUUUGCAACUUUUCAUUAUUCACGUUUUUUAAGUCCAUUCUCUGCAUAAAAGCUACGACAGUGACAUUUGUGCUCUUUUAUGGCUUCUUCAUUUCUACAUGGAUUUUCUUCCUUUUCAUGGCUAGGAGUAGCUAAUUCCUUAGUUGUUGGGGUUGGAUCUAGUGAGACCCACUCAUGCUUUCCUUGUAAAACCCUAACUCUAACCUCAUUUUAAUCUAUUGCUUGAUGCUUCUCUACUUCUAUGUUUAUUUUCUUAAUUAAUGGUUUUAUCACCCGUUUUCAUGUUUAUGAGUUGAAAUGUGGUUGGAAAACUCUUUUUUACUCUAGAUUUGAAGUAAAGCAAUCGUUGGAUUUAGACUUAGGAAUGUGUUUAGAUUCAAUGAUCUCUCUAUUAAUGCUUGGGUUUAUAGUAAAUUCCUUUAUUAAUGUCACCUAAGGGAUUGGGGGUUUAAUGGGGAAUUUGAUCUCAAUCUUCUAAGGGAUUAGAGAUUGAUGAAUUGUGUGCAUUGAGAUAUAUUGAAAUGAGUGUAUGAGUUGGGUUUCAUAAUUGCUUUGUGUUCAUUGUGCAUGAAGAAUAAUGUUUCAUGAUGUCCAAACCCGGCAACAUUAAUCAUAUUAAGUGCUAUCCAUUUUUACUGCAUACCACAUGUUUGAUAAAAUUCCUAAAUGUUUUUCUUCAACAUUUUGUCCUUAAUUGUGUGUUGCUAAAAUCUCUAUUAAUUAGUGUUAAUUUCCAAUCAAAAUCAUCAUUAUAAACCUUAUUCUUUAUUCUUUAGCCUUAGUUGACAAAUUGUGAAUAAGUGUUUGAUAUUUCAAUUCUUUAGGAAAAUCAUACUUGGCCUUUCCAUUUUAUGCUAUUUAUGCAAUUUGGUUCACUUGCCAAAUAUUAUUAACAAUCCUUUCAUUAUACUAAAGUGUUCAAUUAGGUCCUCACAUUUUAAAAAACUUCAAUCAGGUCCUAUUAUUUUUUUUAAAAUGCAUCAAUCUAGUCCUUUCUCUAGUCCUUUCUGUGAAAUUUAUGAAUAGUGAUAAUUUUUAACCGUCACUUUAAUUAAAAAUUAAAAUAAAGUAAAUAUAAUUUAAAAAUUAAGUUUUAAGAAAUAGUAGCAAUUAAAAACCUUUACUUUUUUGUUUCACUCCUCUUUCUUUUUCUCCAACCACCCAAUUGCAGCCACUGAGAAAACCAUCACAACCACCAACAAUAACAACAAAAACACAAACAUAUAUGGUUUGGUGGGAUUUGGUGCAAAUACACCGGUUUGCUAAACGUGCCAACGAUCCCGCUAGGCAUCCUAAGCAUCAACGAUUGGCACAAAACAUCAACGAUUUCUUAAGAGGCAGCUUUCACUCGACCCAAAACCAAAUUGGCACAAAACAUCAACGAUUUGUUCUCCCCAGAGGUUGUGAUUGAGUUGUUCAAGGUUUGUAGCUGUAGCUGAUAUGAUCCAUCGAUAAUCUAGACAAUGGGAUACACAAAUUCUUAGAUCUCUUUUUCCUGAUAACAAUUCUAAAAAAUAUUGGCUAUCUCUAUUUCCCUCUCAAUCCAACAAAAUAAACUGAUGUGGAAACACUCAAACGAUGGUCUUUUUUCUGUGAAGUUUGGAUACCAUGUUGAGCUCAAAAGAUCCUCUAUAGGAGUCCCUUCUCCCAGCUCCAUUCAUGGUGAUUUAUGGCACAAGUUGUGAAAGAUUACAGUCGUCCUGAAUUUUGUGUGGAGGGCUUGCAAAGACAUCCUCCCGGUGAUGUCCAAUCUAAAACUCCAAGUUUAUCAUAUCUGUUUGAGGUGUGGAGAGACACCUGAAAUUGUGGUCCAUGCUCUCCUCUUUUGUGAGAAGAACUUGGUUUGCUUUUCCCCUUAGUGACAUUUUUUUAGUGUAAGAUGAUGACUAUGCUUUUGUUGAUUGGUUUUAAGGUAACUUGCAGAGGCUUGACCCGAGUGCUAUGGCCAGAAUUUGUGAUUUGCUUUAGGCCAUUUGGAAAGGGAGGAAUGAAUGGGACUUCAACAAAAAGAGAUUUCCAAUCUGGCUCCCUCUGAACAUGGCAGUUCCCUGAAUAAGUGAGUAUUGCAACCGAUAGUUUAUCCAGUUACAAUAUAGGUGUUUAUAAGUGGGAGAAGCCUUCUUAGGGGUUCAUCAAAGCUAAUAUGGAUGCCUCAAUCCUGGAGGGAAACGGGACCAACCUUGGGGUGAUUUUUAGAUACCAUAAUCGUUGGCUUUCUGUUGGACCAUUGAGCUAUCUCAGCAACUUCUUUUCUCCAGGGUUAUUUUUAAAUUGAAUUGUCAACAACUUUUCUCAACUUGGAUGCCUCAAUCCUGGAGGGAAACGGGACCAACCUUGGGGUGAUUUUUAGAUACCAUAAUCGUUGGCUUUCUGUUGGACCAUGGAGCAGGAGGCCUUCUAGAGGUCUUAGCUAUGAGUUAGUUAGAAUUGAGGAUGUUCCUCCUAGAUUUGGUUCUUAUGAAUGAUGAUGUAAGGCCGUUGGCCAAACCAUUUUCUUGCUAAUAUUGCAUCCUUUACCUAAGAAAAAAAAA